GAUCUCAAAUUGAACACACACUGUCUGUUGACAGUUCCUCAGAGGCCUUGUGCAAUUUCACCAUCACUGAGAAUGCCUGCUCCUCGGCCACACAUCUGACAGCCAGCAACGUUGCCACAUUGAUGAAUUGCUCACUGCAAAGCCACAGGCCAUUACCUGUAGAGGUCUGGAAGCUUUUCUUCCAAAAAGCUUCUACUGCACUAGACGGGGCUCUUAUGACAUUCGCCACCAUGGCCCCCAGGGACAGCAACCCAUCCUUGUCACAUAUGCUUGAGGCUCUUGGAGAAGUGAGAAUUGCCAACUUCAGUCAGGCCCAACUGCAGAACGAAACCUUUGUCAGCAACUGGUUCCAAACAAAGAUUCGUCCAUUUUUGGCCUCUCCAUCCCCCAACUUCCUAUUCUGCCUUAGCGCCAAGAACUUCAGCUGCCAUACAUACCA